AUGGGAACGCGAAGAACCUUACCUGGUCUUGACAUCCACAGAACUUUCCAGAGAUGGAUUGGUGCCUUCGGGAACUCUGAGACAGGUGCUGCAUGGCUGUCGUCAGCUCGUGUUGUGAAAUGUUGGGUUAAGUCCCGCAACGAGCGCAACCCGUUAUCCUUUGUUGCCAGCGGUUAGGCCGGGAACUCAAGGAGACUGCCAGUGAUAAACUGGAGGAAGGUGGGGAUGACGUCAAGUCAUCAUGGCCCUUACGAGUAGGGCUACACACGUGCUACAAUGGCGCAUACAAAGAGAAGCGACCUCGCGAGAGCAAGCGGACCUCAUAAAGUGCGUCGUAGUCCGGAUUGGAGUCUGCAACUCGACUCCAUGAAGUCGGAAUCGCUAGUAAUCGUAGAUCAGAAUGC
rnacentral:rRNA from 1 species